GAGCAAACAGGGAUAGAUACCCUGGUAGUCCACGCCGUAACGAUGUCGACUGGAGGUUGUGCCCUUGAGGCGUGGCUUCCGGAGCUAACGCGUUAAGUCGACCGCCUGGGGAGUACGGCCGCAAGGUUAAAACUCAAAUGAAUGACGGGGGCCCGCACAAGCGGUGGAGCAUGUGGUAAAUUCGAUGCAACGCGAAGAACCUACCUACUCUUGACAAUCCAGAGAACUUAGCAGAGAUGGAUUGGUGCCUUCGGGAACUCUGAGACAGGUGCUGCAUGGCGUCGUCAGCUCGUGUUGUGAAAUGUUGGGUUAAGUCCCGCAACGAGCGCAACCCUUAUCCUUUGUUGCAGCGGUCCGGCCGGGAACUCAAAGGAGACUGCCAGUGAUAAACUGGAGGAAGGUGGGGAAAUGACGUCAAGUCAUCAUGGCCCUUACGAGUAGGGCUACACACGUGCUACAAUGGCGGCGAAAAACAAGAGAGAAGCGACCUCGCGAGAGCAAGCGGACCUCAUAAAGUGCGUCGUAGUCCGGAUUGGAGUCUGCAACUCGACUCCAUGAAGUCGGAAUCGCUAGUAAUCGUGGAUCAGAAUGCCACGGUGAAUACGUUCCCGGGCCUUGUACACACCGCCCGUCACACCAUGGGAGUG
rnacentral:rRNA from 1 species